rnacentral:rRNA from 1 species
UGGGGAAUAUUGCACAAUGGGGGAAACCCUGAUGCAGCGACGCCGCGUGAACGAAGAAGGUAUUCGUAUCGUAAAGUUCUGUCCUAUGGGAAGAUAAUGACAGUACCAUAGAAGAAAGCUCCGGCUAAAUACGUGCCAGCAGCCGCGGUAAUACGUAUGGAGCGAGCGUUGUCCGGAAUUAUUGGGCGUAAAGGGUACGCAGGCGGUUUAAUAAGUCGAAUGUUAAAGAUCGGGGCUUAACCCCGUAAAGCAUUGGAAACUGAUAAACUUGAGUAGUGGAGAGGAAAGUGGAAUUCCUAGUGUAGUGGUGAAAUACGUAGAUAUUAGGAGGAAUACCAGUAGCGAAGGCGACUUUCUGGACACAAACUGACGCUGAGGUACGAAAGCGUGGGGAGCAAACAGG